GCGUCGGUGGUGUAGUGGUAGCACGCACCCCCGAUAUGGGUGAAAUACGGGGUUAAACUCCCUCAACUCGACGCU